rnacentral:rRNA from 1 species
UACGGGGGGGGUAAGCGUUGUUCGGAAUUACUGGGCGUAAAGGGCUCGUAGGCGGCCAACUAAGUCGGACGUGAAAUCCCUCAGCUUAACUGGGGAACUGCGUCCGAUACUGGAUGGCUUGGAUUCGGGAGAGGGAUGCGGAAUUCCAGGUGUAGCGGUGAAAUGCGUAGAUAUCUGGAGGAACACCGGUGGCGAAGGCGGCAUCCUGGACCGACAUUGACGCUGAGGAGCGAAAGCCAGGGGAGCAAACGGGAUUAGAAACCCGUGUAGUCC